UCUUCAUACUCCUUCUCAAAGGCAUGGGCCUCAGAAAACUCUCCUUCCUCCAUGCCCUCAUCCACAUACCAGUACACACAGGCAUGCUUGGCAUACAUCAGGUCAAAGUUGUGGUCCAGGCGAGCCCUGGCCUCAGCAAUGACUGUGGUGUUGCUCAGCAUACACACAGCUGCCUGUACUUUGGCCAGGUCUCCACCAGGUACCACACGGUUGGAGGCUGGUAAUUAGUGCCAACUUUGAAGCCAGUGGGGCACCAGUCCACAAACUAGAUGGUACACUUGGUCUUGAUGGUGGCAAUGGCAGCAUUGACAUCUUUGGGAACCUCAUCAGCAUGGUACUACAGGCAGAAAGCCAUGUAUUUACCAUGGCAAGGAUCACAUUUGGAGCCAUCUGGUUAGCUGGCUCAAAGCAUGCAUUGGUGAUCUCUGCUGCAGUAAGCUGUUCAUGGUAGGCUUUCUCAGCAGAGAUGACAGGGCAUAUGUGGCCAGAGGUAAGUGGAUGCAGGGAUCGGGCAUCAGGCUGGUCUGGAAUUCUGUCAGAUCAACAUUCAGGGCUCCAUCGUAUCUGAAGGAAGCAGUAAUGGAAGACACAAUCUGGCUAAUUAGGCGGUUAAGAUUAGUACAGUUUGGGUGUUCAAUAUCAAGGUUUCUACAACAGAUGUCAUAGAUGGUCUCAUUGUCUACCAUGAAGGUGCAAUCAAAGUGCUCCAGGGUGGUGUGGGUAGUCAGGAAGUAGUUGUAGGGUUCCACUACAGCUGUGGAAACAUAGGGGGUUGGAUAAAAGGAGAACUCCAGGUUGAACUUCUUGCUAUAAUCGAGAGAGAAACAUUCCAUCAGGCAGGUGAA
rnacentral:lncRNA from 1 species